AGUUUGCUUGAAAUGAACAAGGAAAUAGUGUACACAGACGACUUGUUGUGUUGUCCGGAGGAGGGAUUCAGUCCCAGGCCUAAAUCUAUGAUGCACAUAGACACCAAUCACAAAUCGAUAAGAAGACUUUAUUGAAGUACAUGCAAGUACCUGUGGGGAAAGGUUAUUAUUUUUAUUUUAUGCUUUGUGUUUUCAUGAAAU
ensembl:lncRNA